GCUGACGAGUGGCGAACGGGUGAGUAAUACAUCGGAACGUGCCCGAUCGUGGGGGAUAACGAAGCGAAAGCUUUGCUAAUACCGCAUACGAUCUACGGAUGAAAGCAGGGGACCGCAAGGCCUUGCGCGAACGGAGCGGCCGAUGGCAGAUUAGGUAGUUGGUGGGAUAAAAGCUUACCAAGCCGACGAUCUGUAGCUGGUCUGAGAGGACGACCAGCCACACUGGGACUGAGACACGGCCCAGACUCCUACGGGAGGCAGCAGUGGGGAAUUUUGGACAAUGGGCGAAAGCCUGAUCCAGCCAUGCCGCGUGCAGGAUGAAGGCCUUCGGGUUGUAAACUGCUUUUGUACGGAACGAAAAGACUCUGGUUAAUACCUGGGGUCCAUGACGGUACCGUAAGAAUAAGCACCGGCUAACUACGUGCCAGCAGCCGCGGUAAUACGUAGGGUGCAAGCGUUAAUCGGAAUUACUGGGCGUAAAGCGUGCGCAGGCGGUUAUAUAAGACAGAUGUGAAAUCCCCGGGCUCAACCUGGGAACUGCAUUUGUGACUGUAUAGCUAGAGUACGGCAGAGGGGGAUGGAAUUCCGCGUGUAGCAGUGAAAUGCGUAGAUAUGCGGAGGAACACCGAUGGCGAAGGCAAUCCCCUGGGCCUGUACUGACGCUCAUGCA
rnacentral:rRNA from 1 species